UGUUGGGCUGCUGAGGGGCGAUGAGGCCAGCCUGGGAGUGGUGGUGGAGAGCCCCCCUGAGCAGGACAGCAGCACAGAGGGCAGGAAGCCAAGCCAAGAGGCUGGGAGGGACGAUCCCUGCUGAUGGCGUCGAGCACCCAGGAAGAAAAAUCUCUCACAGAAGCCCCCAUAGACUUCCUCUAACGUCUCAUUGGCCAUAAUGAGUCUUUGCCAGGACCAAUCACCAGCGGUGGGGGAGAGGAGGGGUGAGCAGUUGCCCUGACUGGCUUGGACCUACCGUGAUUCCUCCAAAAUGAGCAUCCAUGGGAAGAAGGCCGGGUGGAGUGUGCAGAAGCAGCUGUGUGAGCAACCAACUCGAUCCUACCAUGAAGGAGAAAUGGACAAGGGAGCUGAGGUUUCAAAGACAAGGGGACAGAAGAGCAGGAGGAGCAGCACGUGCAGAUCCUCAGAGAUGCAGAGAGCAGAGCCGCAGAGAUGCAGAGAGCACAGAGCAGAGAGCAGAGAUGCAGAGAUGCUGAGAGCACAGAGCAGAGAGCAGAGAUGCAGAGAGCAGAAAGCAGAGGCGUAGGGAGAUGCAGAGAGCAGAGAUGCAGAGGCGCAGAGAUGCAGAGAGCAGAGAUGCAGAGAUGCUGAGAUGCAGAGAUGCAGAGGUGCAGAGAGCAGAGGUGCAGAGGCGGGAGGCGAGCCAGCACAGGAUGACUGUGGUUCAUUCCCGCAUGAGCACAGCACAGGUCGGGAGCAGUGGGCAGGGUCUCCUAUUACUUUUGAUGCCUGGAGCGAGGCGGGCCCUGGGCAAUAGGGAGCUACUGAGAGACACUGAGCAGAGCGUGAGGGCAGGUGCAGAAGGAAAUCACAGGUUUCAGAGGCCCCUGGACUUUGGGAGCUGAGCAGAGCCGUUCUGUGACUGGCAAUAAUGUUGCUAAUAAACCUGGAGGCCUCUGUCCCCACAGAUGAUUGUAACUGACAAGAGAGAGUAAAUAGGACCUUAAUUUGUGACUCUGCUAAUGGCAGCAACCUGGUUCUGAUAUGAGAAAGUGCUCACUAAGAGCUGCUCUCUUCACCAUCUCCAGGCUCACAGAGGAAGGGAGGAAGGAGGCCGGGCACAGGGGCAGGGUGACAUCGGGGAGCCCAGUCACAUCUGCUCCACUCCCCACACUGUGAACAUCCUACCUCUGAGCUGUUGUGUGUGCUGUUCCACCAAGCACACCCACACCCUGUCCCCAUGCCCCCUUGGAUCAGAUCGUGGUGAUGCUCCGAGGCCACACCAGAUCCCAGCCUCCACCCCCAUCAGAUGUCUCCUCCCUUCUCGCUGAAGCCGUCCACAUCCCUGGCUCCUCCUAAGGUGUUCUCUGGCCUGUUGUGGACAGAUGCCCAGGCUUCCUCCUCCUCACAGUCCCCCAAGCUCCCAACCUAGGACCGGGUACACAGCAGGCGCUCAAUACACAUUUAAGGCUGCAGAGUCCUGUUCACUGUCCUCCAACGUGAGGGCAUACUGCUCUUCUUCCCAUGGGGGCCCCGAAAAAUGUCAGUGCAC
rnacentral:lncRNA from 1 species